rnacentral:sRNA from 1 species
UCUCUGCUUCUCUUCCUCUAGUUUCUUCGCAUACUUCCUCCGUUCCCUCUCUCUCCUUCUGUCCUCACAUCUCACUAUCUUCUCCAUCCAUGUUCGCUCCUCUUGGCUCUGCCUUCAUGUUGUCUUAUAAAAAAAAAUUUAAAACAUCCGUGAGAGAAGCCCAAGAAGACACAGGACUCAAAACUCAAAGGCUCACCCUCAUUUCCAGAUGGCGCCCUUUCUCUUGUAGCUGAAGAUCCAGGAGUCCUGCCUCCCUGAUAACGGCAGGCUCCAGCGGCAUGGCUCUCAGUCGCUGUCUGGUGAAGAUUUAGCUGAGGAGAAAUCACAACGGAGAACUGGAAUGCUUACUUUAGUGCAAUCUCGGGAGAAAAUUUCUGACAGGAAGUUCUAAGUAGACAGUCUAAAUUAUAAAUAUGCUUAAAGGAUAAGAUUUCAGGCAUCGUCAGUGUUUUCAAAUCCAAAAAAAAAAAGAAGAAGAAAAGGAUAAAAAAACAACAUUACCUACAUGCUAUUGGAGGGCUUUCCAGCAUUUAUUUGCCAAUGCAUGAGAAUGGACAACUUACAUGCUUCAUUCAGUUUGCUCAUACAACAUUGGAAGUAUCUGAAGACAACAUGUAUGACUUCCUCCUGAGUUAAAGUCAUGGUGUACAGGGUUUGGGACAUAAGGGGCUUGUGUACUAUGUCAGAUUUGUAAAACUAAAGAAAACACUGGGCCGAGGAAAUGCCACAUGAAUUCUGCUCAAUUUUGAUAUUAAGACAUACUUUGUAUGCUAACACCGCUCUCUGGUCAGAUGAGCAGGGCUAGCCUCUGGGAGUCUGUGCAACUUUGCUUGGAUUUUCACACACAAACAAAUUUGCUCUUCUGUUCCCCCCAGUGGGAAGGAAGGCUUAGCUCUGCAAAUGCCUGUUAUAAGUGACCGAGCCUCUUCACCCCCCAGCUUCCUACCUGAAAUCCCCUGGCGACCCCGCUGAGCCCAUCAAUGCUGGUUGACUCUCUCAGCUGAGGAUCCUAGGAUGAUAAGCAUUAAUUCAAGAGCAGAAAAGUCUCUCAAGUGCUGAGUCAUCUCUCCAGACCCAAGUAGUGGCUUCUUAAAAACAACGGACAUCUCAACAUCAUGUUUCGAAGAAGAGAAUAAUGAAAAGCAGGAUACAUGCUUGGAAGGGACACUGAGAAUCGCAGAAGGCUUGGUGUGUUUUCAUAUUUGACUGAGGUCAUGGCCAGUUGACUUCUAAACUGAUGGAGAACACUGAAGUAAAUCUUCAUGCAGUGCCUGGUCACCCUCUCGUGAUAAGGGGACACUAUUUCCACGUAGCUGACAUUCAACCUUUCAAAUCUUUGGGUAAGGGUUGGGUAAACUCCAGGAAACCUACAUGCUUCCCAGUCCCUGAGCUACAGGGGAGGCCACUCAGACCUGGAGGAGGUGAGCUUCACUCCUGGGUCCUCAGGGAUCUUCUGAGGCACCGAACACCCCUUACUGCGCAUGUGUGGCCCGGUCUGGAUGAGAAGCCCAGUGUUGGAAGGGCAGGGUCUCCCAGGAAACAGCUAAAACCUUUUAGAAACAAGAGGAGCCACACCACUUUUUAAACAAUGGACCUAAAAUUUGAAACUGAUCUUUAACAUCGUCUUAGGGAGUAUUACUGAAGAACGCCAAAGUAAAUGGAACACAGUAAAAGCAAGCUGAUGACGACGACGUGGGCUUUGUUGACAGCAUCGGUCGUGAGGUGUGGAGAAAUGGAGAUGAAGACCUUCCUUCCCAGGACCCUUUGUUCCUGGCCUGCCUCAUUGGCCACACAUAUGUUGUUAAGACACCCGUAUGAGGAGUCCCAUGCACCCCGAACACCAGAGAGAUGCUUGUGACUACUCCUGAAUUUGUGAAUGUGUCUGGGGAUUCCAAAUAAUCUUAGCAUCACUGAAAGGAGUGUUUGGUGGCUUUAUAUUAUCUCCAAAAACACCCACACACGGGGACUGAAGAGGCGACUCAGUGGCUAAGAGAGCACGAGGCUCUUGUGAAAGGUCUAAGUUCAGUCCCUAUCACCCAUGUCCCAAGUAGCUCAUGACUGACUGUAACCGCAGCUCCAGAGGAUUCCAGCUCCCUCUACUGGCCUCUGUGGGCACCUGUGCUCAUGUGUACACACACGCACAUGC